GGGAGUAUAGUUAAGUGGUGAAGUAUUCGACUGCAGAUCGAGUGGUCCCCGAUUCAAACCCGGGAGUCUUUUUCA